GAUGAACGCUGGCGGCGUGCUUAACACAUGCAAGUCGAACGAAGUCAUUUGGACGGAAGUUUUCGGACGGAAGGAAGAAUGACUGAGUGGCGGACGGGUGAGUAACGCGUGGGUAACCUGCCUCAUACAGGGGGAUAACAGUUAGAAAUGACUGCUAAUACCGCAUAAGCCUACGGUGUCGCAUGACACAGUAGGAAAAGCUCCGGCAGUAUGAGAUGGACCCGCGUCUGAUUAGCUAGUUGGUGAGGUAACGGCCCACCAAGGCGACGAUCAGUAGCCGACCUGAGAGGGUGACCGGCCACAUUGGGACUGAGACACGGCCCAAACUCCUACGGGAGGCAGCAGUGGGGAAUAUUGCACAACGGGCGAAAGCCUGAUGCAGCGACGCCGCGUGAAGGAAGAAGUAUUUCGGUAUGUAAACUUCUAUCAGCAGGGAAGAAAUUGACGGUACCUGACUAAGAAGCCCCGGCUAACUACGUGCCAGCCGCCGCGGUAACAC
rnacentral:rRNA from 1 species